UUACUUACCUGGCAAGGGAGACAUCAUGAUAAUGGCGGUGGUUUUCCCAGAGCAAGGCCCACCACUGCACUGGGAUGUGCUGACCCUGUGAUUUCCACAAAUGUGGGAAACUUGGCUGAAUGAUUUGUAUUAAUGUGGGGGGGGGGACUGCUUUCACACUCU